AUUUCCGACCAAACAUGUUUCCGAAGUUUAUUGUUUUCUAAAUCAAAAAGAAAACAGAAAACCCUUGAUUAUAUUUGCAAUAAGGCGAAAACGCCAGCUGAAAACUGACGUCGACCAUUGACCGCGAUUUGAUCUGAAGCCAACAUGUGAAGUCUGGAGCUUAAAGGUUGAAAAAAUUUAAAAGAUUUAGCGCGCUACACUCUUCAAUAGAGAGAAACAAACGAAAAACCGUGUACAUCGCCGGCCAAAGGAACAAUUCAAUAACCAAAAUUACCGCAGUCAUUAACAGUGACUCGCGCAGUUAAUUAAGACGCCAACGACCGAGAGCUUCUAAGGUAUUAGUCUUAGAUAAAAGAGGCAUUGAAAGAGUAAAGGUUUUGACAAGUGGUUUAAGAACAGGAAGCUUCUACUCUAGAUCGGAGUAAAGCAUCAGUCGUACAAGUCAAACGCGAACAAGCGUAAGAAAGCAUGACGUCAUCUUACAAGUUAGCGUUGUUAUUGAUCAUUCCUUGCGUUCUUCUUUCGAUGUACUCUCAAAAUGUUGAGGGACAGCUUCCCGGAAUUCGCUGGGGAAGAGGUUUUCAAGAAGGCGAUGGUCUUCAAAGAGAAAGCGAGGGAAAACUUUGGAGACUGCUGAAAAAGAGGCUUUAUCGACUUCAACUGGAUGAUACAGCCCAAGACAAGGAGGUAUCGUAGGUCAUCCAGACUACUUGACAAAGUCGUCGAUAGUGAAGGAAAAUGAUAAGGAAUUUACAAAUACGAAAUUUAUUUACAUUUUACCAUUCAUUGAAAUCUCAUCACGAACAGGUUUCGUAUAAAUUUUAGGUAAUUACAGAAUGGAAAUCCUUGUGUUGUUGGACGUCCUGAAUUCAUUCUGUAUUCCUGUUGCUCUCUAUUUAAAUGUAAAAGGUUAAAGUUUCGGUUUAUUGUCUAUAUCAUCCAUAAUAAAUUCAAUGAGUACGUCAGUCAUUAAACAAAAGUACAUCGACCAUUGAUGUAAUCUAAAUUAGAAGCUAUUAGAGAAUAUCCCAGUUCUCAAAUACUAGCCAAUCUAAAUAAAAUAAAAAAUAUGCCAAAGGCCUGUCGUUUUUCUUAUGACUCAAU